GAUGAACGCUGGCGGCGUGCCUAAUACAUGCAAGUCGAGCGAACAGAUGAGGAGCUUGCUCCUCUGACGUUAGCGGCGGACGGGUGAGUAACACGUGGAUAACCUACCUAUAAGACUGGGAUAACUUCGGGAAACCGGAGCUAAUACCGGAUAAUAUAUUGAACCGCAUGGCUCAAUAGUGAAAGACGGUUUUGCUGUCACUUAUAGAUGGAUCCGCGCCGCAUUAGCUAGUUGGUAAGGUAACGGCUUACCAAGGCAACGAUGCGUAGCCGACCUGAGAGGGGGAUCGGCCAAACUGGAACUGGGACACGGUCCAGACUCCUACGGGAGGCAGAAGUAGGAAAUCUUCCGCAAUGGGCGAAAGCCUGACGGAGCAACGCGGCGGGAGUGGUGAAGGUCUUCGGAUCGUAAAACUCUGUUAUUGGGGAAGAACAAAGGUGUAAGUAACUAUGCACGUCUGGACGGUACCUAAUCAGAAAGCCACGGCUAACUACGU
rnacentral:rRNA from 1 species